UACGUAGGGGGCUAGCGUUGUCCGGAAUCAUUGGGCGUAAAGAGCGUGUAGGCGGCCCGGUAAGUCCGCUGUAAAAGUCAAAGGCUCAACCUUUGAAUGUCAGUGGAUAUUGCCGGGCUAGAGUCCGGAAGAGGCGAGUGGAACUCCUGGUGUAGCGGUGGAAUGCGCAGAUAUCAGGAAGAACACCAACGGCGAAGGCAGCUCGCUGGGACGGUACUGACGCUGAGACGCGAAAGCGUGGGGAGCAAACAGG
rnacentral:rRNA from 1 species